ensembl:lncRNA
CUGCUUCCUGGCAGAGGGCAGAGGAGCACUUCUCCCUUCACUGGCUGAGCUGCCCUCUCCAGCAGUGCAGGAUCCAUGCUUUGGCUCUUCCUUUCUCCCAUCACGUUUUGAAUAAGAAAGCCUAUCACCAAGUCUUCCCGCCGACCAUGGGAAUGAUCAGAAUUCAUCUUGCAGAAGAGUCUAAGAAUUACGGACAUCACUUUCAUGUUAUCUCUUGACUGCCCCCUGAGACAAGCCCCUGUGAUCAUGUGCAUGAGCUUCAAAGGUAUUG